GUUGGUGCGCAGGCGCAUUGUCAGUGUGUGAGGAAGCAGAGUGAGCGGCAAUGGCGAAUGAGAAAUAUCUGCCCGAACUUAUGGCGGAGAAGGACAGUCUGGACCCGUCCUUCGUCCAUGCAAGCAGGUUACUGGCUGCAGAAAUAGAAAAGGUUCAGAAGGGAGAGAAAAAAGAGGAAGAAAAGAGAUUCCUUGAUGUCUUGACACAGAAGAACAUAAAGCUUUCUGAACGUUGCCUGAUACCUGUUGCACAAUUCCCGAAGUUCAACUUUGUAGGGAAGCUGCUUGGACCUAGAGGAAAUUCAUUGAAGAGGCUGCAAGAAGAUACAGGCACAAAAAUGUCCAUCCUUGGGAAAGGUUCAAUGCGAGAUAAGUCCAAGGAAGAUGAGCUUCGUAAAGGAGGAGAAGCUAAGUAUGCACACUUGAACAGUGAUCUGCAUGUUCUUGUUGAAGUCUUUGCACCCCCAACUGAAGCCUAUUCACGAAUGUACCAUGCCAUGGAGGAGCUCAAAAAAUUCCUUAUUCCUGAUUACAAUGAUGAAAUAAGACAGGAGCAGUUAACUGAGCUGGCAUAUUUGAAUGGUGGGCAAGAAGCAUCCCGUGGAAGAGGUGUACGUGGCCGUGGAGCUCCACCUGUACCACUUGCCAGGGGCCGUGGUGCAGCACCACCACUUUCUACAUCUCAGUAUGGACCACGAAGUGCAAUAACACGUGGGGCAACUGUGAGAGGAGCACCUGGAGGCCGCAGGGAAGUAGCAAGUGGACGUGGUGCCACACCAGUGCAGAGGGGUGCCCCAGCACCUCGCACCCGUGGAGCACCUUCAGCAUACAGACCGGCACUGCACCCUCCACCUGCUCAGGAAAGCUAUGAUGAAUAUGGUUAUGAUGAUGGAUAUGCAGAGCAGAGUUAUGACAGUUAUGAAAACUAUUAUGACCAAUCCCAGGGCGAUGCUGAAUAUUUUGACUAUGGACAUGGAGAAGUGCAGGAAACUUAUGAAGAUUAUGGGCAGGAGGAUUGGAAUGCAGGGCGAGCAAGCCUGAAGGCACCGGCAAGAUCAUUGAAGGGAAUGUACAGAGAUCAUCCUUAUGGGAGAUACUAAACCUGGCUCUGACCAUGUGUCCAUCCUUAUAAAUUGCUUCAAUCUUCUGUGGUCACCAUCUUGUUAUCAACUGUGAGACAAGCACAGGGUAGUAACCCCUGCUGAAGUUUGUAUCCUUAGAGCCGGGAUGUCUUGUUGGAGCUCAAAAAGGUUUGGUAAGCAGACCUCCAGUAAAUUUGGCACACAAUUCUCAAGUUCCAGGCCACCUAGUCAAAUUAUGGAACAAAAAUUAAGGAUGGAAUUGAGGGAAGUCUCCUUGUAAGAAUAAACGUUUGGAGACGGAGUAAUGAAGUAACUGAUACCGCUAAUAUUUUUUAGAAACCUGAUGUGAACAUUUGCUAAAACAAUUUGUGAAGGAAGACUCUGGGCUGAGGCAACUAUUCUUAAGUCUAACCAGUUGAAAGUCUGAAGUAUCUCUGACUUGGCUUGUUAACAUGCUCAACAGUUAAAGAGCAAAUGUUUUUGUUUGUCUAGCAUUCUUGCUUCUGAAUGGUCAGGUGUAGUUAAGUGUUGAUUGUUUAAAAUGUGAAGAAAAUAAAACUAUUUGGAAAUCUUUGAUUUGUUUAUAUUCACUAACUGCCACUGGAUUUCAUUAAGAUCUGUGUAACUGAAGUUGCAGGAUUUUUAAAACAAUAACGCAACAUUUCCAGAAAAUAGUAAUUUUUAGAAAUUCAUGUGUGGUGUUAGCCUGCAAUCUUGCCUGAGGCUGGAGAUUUAUGAUGCUGGAAAUUUCAGCAUUGUUUUACACUGGGGAUUUUCAGGUGAUGUGCAAAGUGGUAUGUGAAAGACAAUGUCAUGUGGGAAAUUUUAGGUCUGGGAAGUUGGUGGGCGGGGGUGGAAAACUGAACAAUUCAACAUUAGUUUGAAGUAUAAAAGGAGGAGGAGAGUGUUUUGGAGCAAGUAUCAUGAAAACAUUUGAAUGGGAGUUAGAUUUAUCUGAAAGUGAAGAAUAUACAAGGUUAGAAGUAGAAAGCAGACAAAUUGCACUAGAAGUUCAUUUGUGGUGCCUGUGUAGACAUGAUGGGCUAAAUGGCCGCCUCCUGCUCUGUGCAGUUCUGGAUAUUUUAGGUUGUUCUGAAAUGGGUUGUAAUAUGGGUAGUGAUUCCCACAGGUAAAGAGCCACUUCAGUUUGUGGUUAGUGAUUUGGAUGGAGGUUUGUAAAGAGUGGUGAAUCUUACAGAUAAAACAUAGAAUUGUACAGCACAGGAACGGGCCCUUUGGUCCAGGAUGCAGUGCCGAACGUGACACCAAUUUAAACUAAUCUCUUCUGCAUAUUCAUGUGCGUAUCUACAAGUUUCUUAAAUGCCCCUAUUAUAUCUGCACCCUCACUGUGUGGCAACGUGUUCCAGACUCCUACCACUCUGUAAAAACACAACUUGCCCCUCAUCUCCUUUGAACUUGCCCCCCUCUCACCUGAAAUGCAUGCCCCCUAGUAUUUGUUAUUUCAACUCUGGGGGAGGGGGGGGGGAAAAGAUUCUGACAGUCAACCCAACGUAUUCUUCUCAUAAUUUUAUAGACUUCUAUCAAGUCUCCCCUCAACCUCUGCCACUCCAGAGAAAACAACCUGAGUUUUUUCUAGCCUGUCCUUAUGGCUCAUACCCUCUUAUCCAGACAGCAUCUUUGUAAACCUCUUCUGCACCCUCUGUAAAGCCUCCACGUCCUUCCUGUAAUGCGGCAACCAGGAUUGAACACUAAGUGCGGCCUAAGCAAAGCUUUAUAAAGCUCCAACAUGACAUCCUGACUUGCUCUCAAUUCCUCGACCAAUAAAGGCAAGCAUGCCAUAUGCAUUCUUCUCUCCCUCCCUCCCCUCCCUCCACCCCUCCACCCACCCCCCCCAUCUACUUGCAUGGCUACAUUCAGGGAGCUAUGGACUUCAACCUCAAGGUCCCUCUGUACAUCAACACUGUUCAGGGUCCUGCCGUUAAUUGUAUACUUUUCUUAAAUAUUUGAGCCCCCAGAGUAUAGCACCCCACACAUGCCCAGAUGAAACUCAAUCUGCCAUUUCUCCACACACAUCUGCAACUGAUCUAUACCCAGUUGUAUCCUUUGACAACCUUCUACACUAUUCACAACUCUGCCGAUCUUUGGUAUCAGAUGAUACCAAAAAAAGUACAAUUAAACUUUAGACAAAAGAAUGGAAUAGGUGUAAUAAUAGUUCAUGGAAUUCACUGCCCACAAGUGUGGGGUUUUUUUUGAAUAGUUCCAUCCCACUGCUGCAAGUGCAGUAAGAAUGAUUUAGGAUACAUGUAUACUAUUGGAUUUUAAAUAGGCCACAGAAACUUGUAAAUCAGUGACUUUAGCAGCAAGGAGGUGGACAAGUAAGGACAGCCCAUGGGGUGGGUUUUGGGAGACUUGCUAAUCUUUGCUUAGUUAUUAGUGUGCAUUGUUGUAACAUCCUGUAACACAUUUUCAAGCCACAAUGGCAGCAGAUUAAUUUCUCCAACUGAAAUUUGUAAUACAUAAAUAAGACUUAUAAUUGAGUUUAUAAAAUGCACAUUAUGCAGUAACUAAAUGUAGUGUAUUCAUUGGAUUGUUUUGAACCUAUCUUUUAUUUUGUCAGGAAGUUCACCUUCUCUGGAAGGCCUAAGAUGGUAUUCUACAUUGUAUGGAGAACUGUAACACUGCAUACCAACCACAUGCAUGAAUCCCUGGAAUACUUAAGGAACACUACUUUGGCCUAGUACUGUCACAUUUUCCCAUUUCAAUCAUUAUUGUCUUUAUACAAUGUAUUGUAUAAUACAUUCAUUCAAAUAAACUUUACCAUACAAAAAAUAAAUUUAGGUAAUGUUUAUAUUUAAAAUAGAAAUGACGGCUAUCUACUGGUUUCACAUCUGCAGUGUUUAAUUAUAGUCGAGUUAUAACAAUGGAAAAAUUCAUAUGGUUUGUACUUUUGAAACAUUUGGAAGAUAACUGAGUAGGUUUUAAAUAAAAGCUAUUCACUUUUACUAUG